rnacentral:rRNA from 1 species
GAUGAACGCUGGCGGCGUGCCUAAUACAUGCAAGUCGAGCGAACAGACGAUGAGCUUGCUCCUCUGACGUUAGCGGCGGACGGGUGAGUAACACGUGGAUAACCCACCUAUAUGACUGGGAUAACUUCGGGAAACCGGAGCUAAUACCGGAUAAUAUAUUGCACCGCAUGGUUCAAUAGUGAAAGACGGUUUUGCUGUCACUUAUAGAUGGAUCCGCGCCGCAUUAGCUAGUUGGUAAGGUAACGGCUUACCAAGGCAACGAUGCGUAGCCGACCUGAGAGGGUGAUCGGCCACACUGGAACUGAGACAGGGUCAAGACUCCUACGGGAGGCAGCAGUAGGGAACCUUCCGCAAUGGGCGAAAGCAUGACGGAGCAACGCCGCGUGAGUGAUGAAGGUCUUCGGAUCGUAAAACUCUGUUAUUAGGGAAGAACAAAUGUGUAAGUAACUAUGCACGUCUUGACGGUACCUAAUCAGAAAGCCACGGCUAACUACGUG